UACGUAGGGUGCAAGCAUUAAUCGGAUUUAUUGGGCGUAAAGGGCGCGUAGGCGGAAAUGCCAGUCAGAUGUGAAAUCCCGGGGCUCAACCCCGGAACAGCAUUUGAAACUACAUUUCUAGAGGGUAGGCGGAGAAAACGGAAUUCCACAAGUAGCGGUGAAAUGCGUAGAUAUGUGGAAGAACACCAGUGGCGAAGGCGGUUUUCUAGCUUAUACCUGACGCUGAGGCGCGAAAGCAAGGGGAGCAAACAAG
rnacentral:rRNA from 1 species